rnacentral:rRNA from 1 species
AUUGAACGCUGGCGGCAUGCUUUACACAUGCAAGUCGAACGGUAACAGGCCUUCGGGCGCUGACGAGUGGCGAACGGGUGAGUAAUGCAUCGGAACGUGCCCAGAGGUGGGGGAUAACGCAGCGAAAGCUGUGCUAAUACCGCAUAUUAUCUGAGGAUGAAAGCGGGGGACUAAGCAGCAAUGUUUGGCCUCGCGCCUUUGGAGCGGCCGAUGUCAGAUUAGGUAGUUGGUGGGGUAAAGGCCUACCAAGCCGACGAUCUGUAGCUGGUCUGAGAGGACGACCAGCCACACUGGGACUGAGACACGGCCCAGACUCCUACGGGAGGCAGCAGUGGGGAAUUUUGGACAAUGGGCGCAAGCCUGAUCCAGCAACGCCGCGUGCGGGAAGAAGGCCUUCGGGUCGUAAACCGCUUUCAGCAGGAACGAAAAUAGACGGUACCUAGCAGAAGAAGAAUGCGGCCAACUACGUG